rnacentral:rRNA from 1 species
CAACCUGCCGUCUACUCUUGGACAGCCUUCUGAAAGGAAGAUUAAUACAAGAUGGCAUCAUGAGUCCNCAUGUUCACAUGAUUAAAGGUAUUCCGGUAGACGAUGGGGAUGCGUUCCAUUAGAUAGUAGGCGGGGUAACGGCCCACCUAGUCUUCGAUGGAUAGGGGUUCUGAGAGGAAGGUCCCCCACAUUGGAACUGAGACACGGUCCAAACUCCUACGGGAGGCAGCAGUGAGGAAUAUUGGUCAAUGGGCGAGAGCCUGAACCAGCCAAGUAGCGUGAAGGAUGACUGCCCUAUGGGUUGUAAACUUCUUUUAUAAAGGAAUAAAGUCGGGUAUGGAUACCCGUUUGCAUGUACUUUAUGAAUAAGGAUCGGCUAACUCCGUGCCAGCAGCCGCGGUAAUACGGAGGAUCCGAGCGUUAUCCGGAUUUAUUGGGUUUAAAGGGAGCGUAGAUGGAUGUUUAAGUCAGUUGUGAAAGUUUGCGGCUCAACCGUAAAAUUGCAGUUGAUACUGGAUAUCUUGAGUGCAGUUGAGGCAGGCGGAAUUCGUGGUGUAGCGGUGAAAUGCUUAGAUAUCACGAAGAACUCCGAUUG